rnacentral:rRNA from 1 species
UACGUAGGUGGCGAGCGUUGUCCGGAAUUAUUGGGCGUAAAGGGUGCGUAGGUGGUUUUUUAAGUGGGAUGUGAAAUACCUAGGCUUAACUUAGGAAUGGCAUUCCAAACUGGAAGACUAGAGUGCAGGAGAGGAAAGUGGAAUUCCCAGUGUAGCGGUGAAAUGCGUAGAGAUUGGGAGGAACACCAGUGGCGAAGGCGACUUUCUGGACUGUAACUGACGCUGAGGCACGAAAGCGUGGGGAGCAAACAGGAUUAGAUACCCUCGUAGUCC